UUGAAAAUUCACCUGAUCCACUAAUGCGCAGUCUCGGUGACAUUAACGGUUAACCGCUUUUUUUGAACUUCUUAAACUCUUUUCAUUGUUUGAAUUUGAUUUAUUUACUUUUUGUUUUCGGCUAAUCAAUUUUCUCAUCUAAUUAAGUGAUUUUUUUUGUUUCUCUUUCAUUUUUCUUCCCAUCAAUUGAUUAAUAUUAUUAACUAUUAAUUCAGUUAAUUAUCUUGAAUUGUCUCUCUCUCUCUCUCUCUCUCUCUCUCUUUCUGGUAGAUUGAUGAUAUCCUCGUGUUAUCCAUGCAAUUGUCUGGUUCUUUAAUUGACAACAAUCUUUAACCUGAUCAGUUGAUUUGAAUGAUCUUUGGACUUUCUUCAUUCAUAACAAACAUAUAGAGAAAAACAAUGAAGCGGUUAUUGUCUUGUUGGGGAAAAGAAUUAAAUUGUAUCCCAUUAAGAUGGUGAUCAUUUCCGGUGAUGGUGGUGAUUAAGGAUAAACAACAAGGAGAAUAGAGAGGAGAAAAUCUCUAGUUGAUUAAUAAUCCACGUGUAAUUUCAAUUGGACGAAUGUGAUGAGAAUUUUUAAUUGUUUUGUUUACCAAACAUCUCUCAGUGGAUUUUUAGAUGACAAUCUUACUUUUCAAUGGCCAAAGGUUACAACAAUCAACUUGAACGAUAUGAUUACAUGUCAAACAAUCAACCUUUGUAUCGAUUGUCAAAGGCUCAUUGUUGUCCUGUUAUUUUCCCAACCUCGUUUGCUUGAUUACCUUGAAUGGGAAAUUAAUUUAUUGACAAUCAGUUUUGAUUGUGGCUCCAUGACAUUCACAAAUGAGGAAACAAAUUUCCAAAUGGAUUGAUAAACUAAGCUGAUUCCACUGUGAUCAUAUUUGUUUAGUUAAUUUUAGAAGGAAAAAUUUACUCUUUCUUUUUCAGAUUGAUAAUUUAACUUAUUUACUAAGUUAAUCAUCAUCGUCAUUACAAUUACAAUCUCAAAGGAAACACUGAAAAGGUAAACUAAUCACACCGAGAAUCUGAAUAACCUGAUCAAUUUUAGAGAUGAGGAAAAAAAGUGCUGAUCUCAAGCAAUUAACGUUGAUUGUUGACAAUUAACAUACACUACAAAUGAAAUUAAUCUCAAUGGAUCAUGGAUCUUAAUCAUGAUUUAAUAAUUCUUAAUACAAAGUCUAUCGGUCCAUUCAGAAGCUUAAUUGUGUAAUUAACUUGGAAUCUUAAUCAUUAUUGGUAAAUUUAAUCCGUUUUCAUGGUCAUCAUUUGUGGACAUGAUUAAUUGGAAUCACAAUCAACAUGAGAAAAGGACGAGAAAGAAAUAACCAGGAUAGUGAGGAAGAUAAUCUUGAGAAAUUAGCUAAUUGUCAUGAAU